rnacentral:lncRNA from 10 species
CUUUUAUGAAAGUUCUUAGCUUCCUUGCAUUGGUUUAGAACAUGCUCCUUUAUCUCGGAGGUGUUUGUUAUUACCCAACUUCUGAAGCCUACUUCUGUCAAUUUGUCAAACUCAUUCUUCAUCCAGUUUUGAGAGGAGUCGCAAACAUUUGGAGGAGAAAAGGCAUUCUGGUUAAUUGAAUUUUCAGCAUUUUUGCACAGGUUUUUCCUGAUCUUCGUGGAUUUUUCUACCUUAGAUGUUUGAUGCUGAUGACCUUUGGAUGGAGUUUUUGUGUGGGCAUCCUUUUUGUUGAUUUGAUGUUAUUGCUUUCUGUUUGUUAGUUUUCUUUCUACCAGUCAGGAUUCUCUUUGGCAAGCCUGCUGGAGUUUUCUCAAAGUCCACUCCAGACACUGUUUGCCUGGGUAUCCCCAGCAGAGGCUGCAGAACAGAAAUGAUUGCUGCCUGCUCCUUCCUCUGGAAGCUUCAUUCCUGAGGGGUACCUGCCUGAUGUUGGCCAGAGCUCUCCUGUAUGAGGUGUCUGUCGACCCCUGCUGGGAGGUGUCUCCAGGUCAGGAGGCAUUGGGGUCAGGGACCUACUUGAGGAGGCAGUCUGUCCUUUAGCAGAGCUCAAGCUCUGUGGGGGGAAAUCCAUUGCUCUCUUCAGAGCCUGCAGGCAGGAGUGUUUAAGCCUGCUGAAGCUGAGCCCACAGCCACCCCUUCCCCCAGGCACUGUGUCUCAGGGAGUUUUAACUAUAAGCCCCUGACUGGGUCUGCUGCCUUUCUUUCAGAGAUCACAAGCCCAGUGAGGAGGAAUGUACAGAGGCACUCUGGCCACAGCUCCUUUGCCAUGCUAAGGUACUUAGUCCACUUUUCAUGUGUGGAAUCUUUAAGAAGGAAAAGAUAAAUGGAGAAAGGAUAGCACUAAGAGGAAGAAAGAAAAAGGUAAGGAACAAUCCUAAACACGUAUGGUGACUAACAAUUCUGUAAAUCACCUGAUCCAACAUGACCUCUUGCUGUUACUAGCAGAAAAAUUGCUCUCAUUUGCAUUUUUUAUUUUCUCUCUUACAAAUAGUGAAGGAAAGAUGAGUUCAGGUAAGAGUUCAUUAUCUCCUCUCACCCUCCCAUAGGCUUUGGUGAAAGAAAGCAUUUGCAAAAUGUGUUCUUCAUAUGCUAUGCUCCUCUCUCCUCCCAUGCAGUAGAAUCAAUUUCAAACCAUUUCAUUUCUUAACAUAAAAUCACGUCUCAUGAAAAUAGACCCAUUGCCAUAAAAUCAAAAAGCCUGUAUUCUUCUAUUGCAGGCUUCUGCUGGCUGGCCUCUACCAAGUCCACUGCUUCAAGCAUAGUGCAAAUAGUGUAAAAUAAUUAUAUUUUAUUUUCUUUGAAGCUCAAGCAUGUAUACUUUAUUUGAACUAAGCACACACAAAGGUUGUCUACUCUCCUUUUUAUUAAAGCUUCAUUAAGUACAGAUUUAUUGCUAGAUAAUCUUAUCUAUUAAACUUUCAAGAAAAUUGUACAAUUUUAAACUUUUAUUAUUUAUUUAUUUAUUUAUUUAUUUAUUUAUUUAUUUAUUUUUUGAGAUGGGAUCUGUCUCUGUCACCCAGGCUGGAGUGCAGUGGCACAGCCUCAGCUCAUUGCAGCCUCAAUCUCCUAGGUUCUAGUGAUCCUCCCAUCUCAGCCUCUGGAGUAGCUGGAACCACAGGCAUGCACCACCACACCCAGUUGCUUUUUGUAUUUUUUGGUAGAGAUGGGGUUUCACCAUGUUUGCCAGGCUGGUCUCGAACUCCUGACUUCAAGUGCUUGGCCUGCCUUCACUUCCCAAAGUGCUGGGAUUACAGGCGUGAACCACUGCACCCAGCCAACUAUUAUCUUUUAAGCUUUCAGGAAAUUAUAAACUCACCAAAACUUUGCCUGCAAUUCAGAUAUCUUUGUGAUAGAUUACACUACAAUGUUUUCAUGAUAUUUGCUGCAUGGAAGUAUUUGUCUCAGUAGAUAUAUGACCAUGAAUUUUUCGUUUCCUUAUAAAAAAAGAACUCUUAAUGAAUUACCUAUGCAUAAGUAGCAUUUACAAACUUUACACUUAAAGGUGACAAAUAAGCAGGAAGAUUUUACAGAAGAAAAAAUACCAUCUUAUUAUUUGGAUGGUUCUUCAUUAAUAUGUAAAUGUUGGGAAUCCUGGUGUUUUCCAUCUUUUCUCUUUUUUGGCCUUAGAGAGAUAGAGCCUUAAGUCAUUAACAGAUUUUGUUUCUUUUCAAACGUUAUCCCAGAAUACACUCCUGUUUAAGUGACUCAGGUCUAAACAUUAGAGUCUUAAACACAAUACUUCUUAUGCCCACAACCCCUUAUGAGUUCUACUUUAUUAUUUUUCCCUUCACAGCCAAUUUAUUUUAAAAGGUGUAUAACUCACAGUCUGCAAUUUUUUAUUUUUUAUUUCUCCUCAACCUGAUACAAUCUGGUUUCUACCUCCCAUUCUAGGUCACAAAUGAAGCAAUAUGGAGGUCAUUGGUGGCCUAGCUUUGCAACAGUUAAACUGAUUGACACUCCUUCUUAGAAAAUGUCUUCCUUCUUGAUAUUACAUAUAAGUAUCUUUCCUGGUUCUCAGUAAAAACCUGUUAACUUCUUUAUUCAUUUAUUCAAUACGUUGAAAAGUUAUCGAAGGUCAGGUUCUGUUUCCUGCUCCUCUGCUACAUCUACUGCUUAAAUGUCAUAGCCCUCAGUCUAUGUGCUUUUCUCAGUAUACACAUUUACCUUAGGAGGCUUCAUCUAAACCCACUGCUAAUGAUUCUCAAACUUGCUUCUCCAGGCAAGAUUUCAUUCUUACUUUUCUCAACUGUGUGCAGAAUGUCUUUAUGCUGGUGUUCAGAAGACACCAUAUACUGACUUGUCAUUAGUUGUAAAAAUAAAAGGUUUAAAAUAUUUAUUCUGAUCUACCCCUUUUAUGUUUUUGAAUUAUUUUAUGAAACCAAAUUCAAAUAAAACAGAAAGUUAUAAAACAGAAGUAAAAGUUCUCCUAGUCGGAGAAAAAAAGGUAGCAUCUCAUGAAGAGUGAGGAAUAAUAAAACAGAAAUUAGAAAAAUGUAAAAUCUUUUUGCAAUACUUUCACAAAAUAAAUGUUUAACUUUGGGGAACUUGCAUUUUUAAACUUGCAAAAUAGUGGCCAAAUGUGCAGAUGAGCAUGUACAAAUGUAUACGAUGUCUUUAAAUAUCUAUAUACUGCACAAUAGCUUAGUGAUCCAAUGGAUAAUAUCUUAACUGUUUUUAUGUUGAUAGAAGCUCAGAUGACUUUGUUGGUUUCUAUUGUUGUAUUAAUUAUUCUUGUAUACAUAAUUUU